GAUCCUAGCUCAGGGUGAACGCUAGCUACAGGCUUAACACAUGCAAGUCGAGGGGCAGCAUGAACUUAGCUUGCUAAGUUUGAUGGCGACCGGCGCACGGGUGAGUAACACGUAUCCAACCUGCCGAUGACUCGGGGAUAGCCUUUCGAAAGAAAGAUUAAUACCCGAUGGCAUAGUUCUUCCGCAUGGUAGAACUAUUAAAGAACUUCGGUCGUCGAUGGAGAUGCGUUCCAUUAGGUUG
rnacentral:rRNA from 1 species